UAACACAUGCAAGUCGAGCGGUAGAGAGAAGCUUGCUUCUCUUGAGAGCGGCGGACGGGUGAGUAAUGCCUAGGAAUCUGCCUGGUAGUGGGGGAUAACGUUCGGAAACGGACGCUAAUACCGCAUACGUCCUACGGGAGAAAGCAGGGGACCUUCGGGCCUUGCGCUAUCAGAUGAGCCUAGGUCGGAUUAGCUAGUUGGUGAGGUAAUGGCUCACCAAGGCGACGAUCCGUAACUGGUCUGAGAGGAUGAUCAGUCACACUGGAACUGAGACACGGUCCAGACUCCUACGGGAGGCAGCAGUGGGGAAUAUUGGACAAUGGGCGAAAGCCUGAUCCAGCCAUGCCGCGUGUGUGAAGAAGGUCUUCGGAUUGUAAAGCACUUUAAGUUGGGAGGAAGGGUUGUAGAUUAAUACUCUGCAAUUUUGACGUUACCGACAGAAUAAGCACCGGCUAACUCUGUGCCAGCAGCCGCGGUAAUACAGAGGGUGCAAGCGUUAAUCGGAAUUACUGGGCGUAAAGCGCGCGUAGGUGGUUUGUUAAGUUGGAUGUGAAAUCCCCGGGCUCAACCUGGGAACUGCAUUCAAAACUGACUGACUAGAGUAUGGUAGAGGGUGGUGGAAUUUCCUGUGUAGCGGUGAAAUGCGUAGAUAUAGGUAGGAACACCAGUGGCGAAGGCGACCACCUGGACUAAUACUGACACUGAGGUGCGAAAGCGUGG
rnacentral:rRNA from 1 species